AGGGGACCACCGCGCACGGCCCGGGCCGCCACUGUUGCUAGUGUGCAACUCUGCUGCGUGCACCCUGGAAUUGCACUUUAGCAAUGGUGACGGCCCGCGGCCACCUCGCCGUCCCGCUCU
rnacentral:pre_miRNA from 13 species